UUUCGGUUGUGACGUAGGUAGCAGAGGAUCGCUCAGUACUCACAUUAGCGAGCUUUGUUAGCCGGAUAAACAUGUGUUGCAGACCGAGAUAGUCGUCAUUCAGGUGUUCCCCGUUCAAAUGCAUUAGUGUAUUCAUUUACACGUCUGCAUUUUGGAGGAAAAUGAGUGAUCUGAUAGAUUCCCUGGUCAAAGAGGGCUGGUACCUCAGCGAUGAAGGCAUCGCAGAACUCAAAGGAUCAGCUGAGAAUGUAACACACACUGACAUUAUCCGCAUUGCACUUGAUAGUGAUCUGAGGCCUGUUGGGAGAAAGUUUCUACCAUCUGAUAUCAAUAGUGGAAGAACUGAGAAGUUGGAGGGUCCAUGUGUUCUCCAGGUGCAGAAGGUGAGAAACAUCUCGGCUCCUAAAGAUCAUGAAGAGUCCCAGGGCGCGCCACGAAUGCUGCGCCUACAAAUGACAGAUGGCCAUACCACCUGUGUUGGAUUGGAGUUUAAACAUCUGUCGAAGAUCAGCCUCAAUACCCCCCCUGGAACAAAGGUGAAGCUUCUUGGUACGGUCCAGGUUAAAAAUGGUCUUUUGCUGCUUGAUGACUCAAAAAUCUCCGUCCUUGGAGGAGAGGUUGAUCACAUGGUGGAAAAAUGGGAGCUACAAAGGAGUUUGGCCAAACACAGCAGGAGUAACAUUGGAGCAGAAGGCGGACCUCCCCCCUUUGUGCAGUUUGGUCAGAAGUGUGCGAGGAAAGAUGAAGUAGACAGCCGAGAGCUGGACCAGAGGAAGACGCUGCAGACUCACACCGCGGUUAAAAGCACCGAUGAGAACGACGAGUUUGAGAAGCAGCGGACAGCAGCGAUUGCAGAGGUGGCCAAGACCAAAGAGGGCCCCCGCACGUUUGGUGGUGGAGGAAAUGCAGGCAGUAAUUUAUCCAAUGCAGCCUCCUCUUCCCGGAGUCGAGACUCAUACCAGCAGAGGAGACGAGAAGACAGGGUCGAAAGAACAGAGAGCAGACAAGAUGGAAACUACAGGGAGCUGGUGGACGAACGUGCCCUGAGAGACAUCAUGGAGAUGGGCUUCAACAGGGAGGCCGCUCGACAGGCCCUGAUGGAUAAUAACAACAACCUUGAAGUGGCACUAAACAGCCUGCUGACCGGGUCCUCGGGUAGCGGGCCCGGCCCGAUGGCGGCUGAACCGAACAAGCCGCAACCCAGAGGCAGGGGGAAGGGAAGAGGGAGGUCCAGAAAUGAAGAUGAGGAUGAGGGAGCAGGAGGAAGGCCAUCAGGACCCAGCACUCUGUUUGAUUUUCUGGAAUCCAAGAUGGGAGUUUUCUCCAUCGAUGAGCCAAAAAACCAGGCGCCACAGAGACAUGAGAACAAAGGAGGUUUCUCCAACUCAGAUUAUUACACCAAAGACACAUCUCACACCAAGUUCUCCUCACACAACGACCACCGGCAGCCACGGAAUGACCGGCCGCCUCGCUUCAACAGAGACACUGAUUUUCCCAAACCUGGCCAGGAGCCUCUCUCGAACUCUCCAACCCCCCAAACAUCAGCUCAAGGCCCGCAGUGGAAGGGCCAGGACAGAUGGUCGCGGGGCCCAUCGGACAGACCCCAGAAUGAACGGAGAGAGACGCGAGACGAGCAGAUUUAUCCUCCUGCCUACAUGAAUACUUUCACUCAUUCAAAGGAUCCACAGCAGCAGCAGCAGCAGCUGGAGUUCAGUGGAUCUUCCCAGCAACGGUAUCGAAACGGAGAUGGUUCUGGGAAUAUGUCCGGGCCGCCUCAGAGGAGAGGUGGGAGGGACAACGUUCCAGCUCCUAAACUGCAUAAUUCUACAGGAAGCGAAAUGGACGCAAGAGGAAACAAUAAACGUAUGGACAGAAAUGACGACGCCAACAAUGGCAGGAGGAAGGGGAAAUUCGACCGGCCAAAUUCGGAUUAUUUUGACCGACAAAGGGAUGGUGGACCUCCAAACUUUAAUGUGAGAGGAGGAGGAGGUGCAGGAGGCAGCUCAGGGAUCGUUCAAGACGUGGGGUUACCACAGGAUCCUCGAAUAAUGGCGGGAGACCCCGCUCUUUUUCAAAAUGGAAUCAUAGAACAUAAAAGAACUGGGCCGAUCAAGCCUAUGAACUCAUCUUGUCCGCCGAACAGGGAGCCACCUAACAAGAAAAACGCCCCGAAUAACCCGGGAUCCAAAAGAAGGGCGGGUCAAGGCAAAGGUCAGGGUCCUCGAGGAGCCGAGAGAAGUCACGCUGUGGAGCAUGCGUGGAAGCCAGGCGACCAGUGUCUGGCACUGUACUGGGAAGACAGCAAGUUCUACCAUGCCAGAAUAGACGCUGUGCAUCCGUCGGGCACCACGGCGGUGGUUGUAUUUAGCGACUAUGGAAACUGUGAAGAAGUCCUCCUGCACAACAUCAAGCCCCUCCCCGCCGACGCCAUGUAACACAUCCCAACCAUAUCAAAUGUGCGAUGGCAGGAGGAAGAUGAUGGUUACUAUGACGGUUCACUUGAGUUUCGACGUGGGGGAGACGGACAACCGAGACGCACAAGACCCACGCAGCAGUAUUACCAGCCACCCAGGGCACGAGAUUAACGUGUCUGAGUUUACACUGGCAGGUAAAUCGAUCGUGUUUGUCCCACAUCCUUCCACUUUCCGCGAGAAUCCAGAGUGCUUCCUGAAUUUUUAAGCGUUCACAUCGUCAGGACAUCCGAACUUUUCAAAGGGCUUGCACCUCAUACACAAUUAAAGGAACGACCGACACAAGCUCCUCUGUUUAUUUUGUGAAGAACGUACCGACUGUACAUGUUGUGAUUUGAAAAAAUGGAUGCGUUAAAAUAAACAACUAUUAGUAUGUAGCA